rnacentral:rRNA from 1 species
UCCGGAGGAUGCAAUCGUUAUCCGGAAUUAUUGGGCGUAAAGAGUCCGUAGGUGGCGAUUCAAGUCUGCUGUCAAAGCGUGGAGCUUAACUCCAUUAAGGCAGUGGAAACUGAAUGGCUAGAGUCCGGUAGGGGUAGCGGGAAUUCCCAGUGUAGCGGUGAAAUGCGUAGAGAUUGGGAAGAACAUCGGUGGCGAAAGCGCGCUACUGGGCCGGAACUGACACUGAGGGACGAAAGCUAGGGGAGAGAAAGGG